CAUUGUCCCUAAUCAUGUUUUC
rnacentral:siRNA from 1 species